UGCUGCCACAAACCCGUAGAUCCGAACUUGUGCUCAUAUUCCACACAAGCUUGUAUCUAUAGGUCUGUGGCUGGCUGGCAAGAGCACCCCGGGGUGCUGCUGCACUUCCCC
ensembl:miRNA tgu-mir-100-2 tgu-mir-100-2